AAGCUUGCUUCUAUCAAUCUUAGUGGCGAACGGGUGAGUAACGCGUAAUUCAACCUGCCCUUCAUAGGGGGACAACAGCUUGGAAACGACUGCUAAUACCGCAUACGAUUCAAUCUCGGCAUCGAGACUGGAUGAAAGGUGGCCUCUAUUUAUAAGCUAUCACUGAAGGAGGGGAUUGCGUCUGAUUAGCUAAUUGGAGGGGUAACGGCCCACCAAGGCGAUGAUCAGUAGCCGGUCUGAGAGGAUGAACGGCCACAUUGGGACUGAGACACGGCCCAGACUCCUACGGGAGGCAGCAGUGGGGAAUCUUCCGCAAUGGACGAAAGUCUGACGGAGCAACGCCGCGUGAGUGAUGACGGCCUUCGGGUUGUAAAGCUCUGUUAAUCGGGACGAAUGGUUCUUGUGCGAAUAGUGCGAGGAUUUGACGGUACCGGAAUAGAAAGCCACGGCUAACUACGUGCCAGCAGCCGCGGUAAUACGUAGGUGGCAAGCGUUGUCCGGAAUUAUUGGGCGUAAAGCGCGCGCAGGCGGAUUGGUCAGUCUGUCUUAAAAGUUCGGGGCUUAACCCCGUGAUGGGAUGGAAACUACCAAUCUAGAGUAUCGGAGAGGAAAGUGGAAUUCCUAGUGUAGCGGUGAAAUGCGUAGAUAUUAGGAAGAACACCAGUGGCGAAGGCGACUUUCUGGACGAAAAGCUGACUGCUGAGGCGCGAAAGCCAGGGGAGCGAACGGGAUUAGAUACCCCGGUA
rnacentral:rRNA from 1 species